rnacentral:rRNA from 1 species
GACGAACGCUGGCGGCGUGCUUAACACAUGCAAGUCGAACGGAAAGGCCCUGCUUUUGUGGGGUGCUCGAGUGGCGAACGGGUGAGUAACACGUGAGUAACCUGCCCUUGACUUUGGGAUAACUUCAGGAAACUGGGGCUAAUACCGGAUAUGAGCUCCUGCUGCAUGGUGGGGGUUGGAAAGUUUCGGCGGUUGGGGAUGGACUCGCGGCUUAUCAGCUUGUUGGUGGGGUAGUGGCUUACCAAGGCUUUGACGGGUAGCCGGCCUGAGAGGGUGACCGGCGACAUUGGGACUGAGAUACGGCCCAGACUCCUACGGGAGGCAGCAGUGGGGAAUAUUGCACAAUGGGCGGAAGCCUGAUGCAGCAACGCCGCGUGCGGGAUGACGGCCUUCGGGUUGUAAACCGCUUUCGCCUGUGACGAAGCGUGAGUGACGGUAAUGGGUAAAGAAGCACCGGCUAACUACGUG